AGACUUCUGCAAGAUGCCAAGAGGGGAACUUGGGCUUUUUCUUUUUUCUAAUUGCCUUUUACAGAGUGAUGGAAAGUUAACUACGAAAUCCUGCCGGGAAAAGAAGGACGACCUAGGCCUAAAAAUCGUGUCUACUCUCCAAGAGAGCGUUGCCCUGCUUUCCAAUGUUAUUUCAUCUGUUUUUAUAAUUGGAUGUGAAACUUCUUGAGAAAGGUUCCUAUGACUCUUUAACCAAUUAUUGUUCAAAGCAGUCCCCAAAGUGUUAAGUAG
rnacentral:lncRNA from 1 species